CCGCCAAGUCUGAUUUGGUUUAAUUCCUCGGCUUUGAGCAACACGAAAUUUAUCGAAACUUUGAAAUAUGGAAUGUUGGAAGUGCAAGAACAUUUGGAGACUUUUUGUGAUAAGAAAGAUCAAGCCGCUGUGUAUUGUAACGCAGUUAAAACCACUCUGAAAGUGGAAUAUUUAAGCGGUCAACAACCCAUUGAAGUUCAUCAUUAUUUACUCGAUUUGG